GCCUUUGUUGAUUGUUUAAAUUUGCUUUAAUCAUACGCGACAUGCAACUAUAAUGCGGCUGAUUCUUAUACAUAGAGAAACAUAUCUGGGCGUAGGACGCAUCAGACUGGGCGUAAGACGAUUUUACGUGCUUUUGGUCGACAUUUCGAUUGCUGACAAUCAGCCCAUUGUACCACGAACCAGCUCGGAAUGACCAACAAACGUGUUGGUCAACUAUUUACUGGCGGCUAGACUAGAAGAACGAAUGCGGUACCUAUUUUGAACGGAAUCCAAAGACUUAAAUAUACCAUAGAUGACGCAAAUGCAUCUACUUCGCGUGUCCGAACCCGGACCAAGCGUCGAGGUUGGCCGUCGCUAUUGACAUUCCACGGGCGCCAGUUGAGGCAGCCGGUAGUCCGUAAAAAAUUAAAAAAUGCCUCGUUGCGUGGUAAUUAACUGCAACAGCCCAAAAAUUGCAAGCACCCAAGGGCAAGGACAUAUUUCCUAUCACAGGACGACAUACAUACGGAGAGAUAAAAAUUGCAAAUAAAUCCGAAACUGUGGAGGAGAGGAUUAAGUGCGAGGCUAUUUGGAUGAGCGAUGCGGCGGAGGAGCUGCACUUUCCAUUCACUUAAGUUCAAAAAUCUGUAAUAUUUAUUUAUAUAAGUAUUUUUAAUACAUAACAUAUUUAAGUGGUUAAAAAAGUGGUUUGUAUACCGUCUAGUUUACAAAUAUUUUUACAAGCCAACGUUCCAAAUGUGCAAAUAGUAGGUAGGUACAGUCACCGUCAGAUAUAUCGAACGCCAAAGGCGUUCACAAAUAUCAGAACACGGCUCUAUUGUCAAGGUGAGAGAGUGCGUAUUCCGAUAUUUUUGAGUGCUUCGGCCACUCAGAUAUAUCUGAUGACGACUGUACACAUAUUGUAUUGCAAGCGUCCAAAGUAUGUCGUUUUAUAUGAGGCCUGAGAUGUCUUUUACGAGCCAUAGACAAUUAAAACACACGGGACAAGUAUAAAUAAUGUCACUUGCACACGUACAAUACCUUUACAAUACCAACGACGUACGUUAAAUACAUUUGCGAAAAAAUCACAAUGAUUCUAAUAGGUACUAGGUACUCGUAUUGGUUACAUAAGUAUUACACUUACGGUUAAGAAUUUUCCCUUGAACAACGAUAUUGUCACUAUAUAUUUAUUUCGUUUAGUGAUCUACAUUCCAAAGAAUAAUCAUAUUAUUUCAUUAUACACCGUGUUUUUUAAAGUCCGUUAAUUUCAAAGGGGCACCGUAAUUUUGAAACCGUGGUUCAAAUGUUACACGCUUUUUUUCCUGUUUAUAAAUGAAUGGUUUUAAUAUGAUACUACGGAAAGGUGUUGCCUCCCUGAUGCGCAGAGUACGAAAGAGUACCAAUAGCCUCCUGAGUGCUCUGUUAUUGAAAAGUGUGAGUGCCCUGUUGAGGUUUUGGAACUAUGUCCAUACAAGCGUCAGACCUCUCAUUUUAAAUGUAAAAUAAAUACGAAUAGAAAAUUGAAUUUGACAUGAAUUGGAAUUUCAACUAAAUUUAAUUGUUUAAUUUUGAUAUUUAUAUAAUUUAGAUGUAAAUGUAGAUUGUAUCUUGCGUUGUUGUGUGAUGUUCGCAUUUCAGACUGCAAAGAAAUUCGGUGGCAACGUAAGGCAUCUAGUUGGAGGGCUGGUUCCGGUAAUGGGUUAUUUUAUUUGGUACCUUAAACUAAUAACGCAUAGACAGAUAGUCCCCAUACGGCUAACCUGUCAAAAGUGAAGCCGAAACACGAUCGAUGUGUGCGUGCGAGGUUUUACGCUCAGCAACACACACAUAUAUACAAAAACGUGUGGUCAGUAUAUAGAUAUUUCCCUCAAAGUGGGGUAUUUUAACCACAUCCUUAACACUUGGUUAUUAAUAAUUUGUAAGUGUGUAGAUUUGAUUUUGUA